GAUGAACGCUGGCGGCGUGCCUAAUACAUGCAAGUCGAGCGAACAGACGAGUAGCUUGCUGCUCGGACGGUAGCGGCGGACGGGGGAGUAGUACGUGGAUAACCUACCUAUAAGACUGGGAGAACUUCGGCAAACCGGAGUUGAUAACACGGGAUAUAUUGGACCUCAUGGUUGAAUAGUGAAAGACGGAUUUUCUUUCACUUAUAGAUGGAUUCGCGCCGUAUUAGCUAGUUGGUGAGGUGAUGGCUUACCAAGGCGGUGAUGCGUAGCCGACCUGAGAGGGGGAUCGGCGGCCCUGGAACUGAGACACGGUCCAGCAUACUACGAGAGGCAGCAGUAGGGAAUAUUCCGCAAUGGGCGAAGGAAUGACGGAGCAACGCCGCGUGAGUGAUGAAGGUCUUCGGAGCGUAAAACUCCGUUAUUAGGGAAGAACAAAUGUGGAAGUAAUUAUGCACGUCUUGACGGUACCUAAUCAGAAAGCCACGGCUAACUACGUG
rnacentral:rRNA from 1 species